UACGUAGGUGGCAAGCGUUGUCCGGAAUUAUUGGGCGUAAAGGGCUCGUAGGUGGCCAACUAAGUCAGACGUGAAAUCCCUCGGCUUAACCGGGGAACUGCGUCUGAUACUGGAUGGCUUGAAUUCGGGAGAGGGAUGCGGAAUUCCAGGUGUAGCGGUGAAAUGCGUAGAUAUCUGGAGGAACACCGGUGGCGAAGGCGGCAUCCUGGACCGAGACUGACGCUGAGACGCGAAAGCGUGGGGAGCAAACAGG
rnacentral:rRNA from 1 species